AUGUGCUACUUGCAGGAGAAAAGAUGGAAGGAACAAGAGGUGGAAGUGAGCUCCCAGCAUAUGAACAAUCGAGGCUUGCAAGUAUUGCAAAAAACAAAAGCUGAAGAACUUGGCUAUGACAUGCAGAGAGAUGAAAUAUUUGUCAGAGCACAUACACGUAAAAUUGGAGUUCCUACCGCACAAGCGGAGACAUUAAUUAAACAACCUGAAGAAACAGCUGAACCACCAACAACACUUGCAAUGGAAAUUCAAUUUCAUCGACAAGAUGAACAAGUUUCUACUCUACUAGGGCACACAGAAAAAAUGCAACGAUAA
rnacentral:rRNA from 1 species